ensembl:lncRNA
GUUUUUGGCGGCAGAGCCUCAUUUUUUGGAGCCCUGAGAAAGAGAGGGAGGCGCGGGGUGGGGUGGGGGGAGCGCCUGGCGUGGGAGGGGGCAGGGAGCCGCCAGCUCCCUCCUCGUGUACCUUUUUCUUUCUCUGGCGAUGGCAGUUCCUCACCAAGGUCCAACACGUGGGAAGCCAGUUUAAGCCUGGAAUGCCAGCUCCCAUUUACGUUCCCCCUCGAGGUCAGGGAGCCACAGGAAAGCGCAAAGGCUGAGGGAGGAGAGGCCCCCCGGAUGGGUCCCGCAUGCCCUUUCUGCCCUGACCUGGAAAAUUCACCUGGAAAACCCACGAGGCUCCCAGGGCAGAUGGCCUCACGUGACCCAGAUGUCAAGCCAUCGCGAUUCCUAGAGGGAGCUUGGCAGGCUUUCUCGUGGGGACCAGCAGGAAUCUAGGCGGAUUUAAACAGAAACCCGACUUCCUGGGCUUUAACAGAUUUAAACAGAAACCCGACUUCCUGGGCUUUUGCGUUCAUUAAACUUGGGGCAAAUGUAACUUUUUGUCUCUGAGAGUUUAAAACAAAACAAAACAAAAACAAUCUUCACUGACCCCUAAAAAAGGCUCAAAAAACUUUGGAAAGUUCGAAGAAGGACUCAAAUCCCUCUUUCGAUGGGCUCGUUACUCAGCGC